GAUGAAGAACGUAGUGAAAUGCGAUAAGUAAUGUGAAUUGCAGAAUUCAGUGAAUCAUCGAAUCUUUGAACGCACAUUGCGCCCGCCAGCAUUCUGGCGGGCAUGCCUGUUCGAGCGUCAUUUCAACCCUCGAGCCCCCCCGGGGGCCUCGGUGUUGGGGGACGGCACACCAGCCGCCCCCGAAAUGCAGUGGCGACCCCGCCGCAGCCUCCCCUGCGUAGUAGCACACACCUCGCACCGGAGCGCGGAGGCGGUCACGCCGUAAAACGCCCAACUUUCUUAGAGUUGACCUCGGAUCAGGUAGGAAUACCCGCUGAACUUAAGCAUAUCAAAAGCGGAGGA
rnacentral:misc_RNA from 1 species